UCCUGGCCGUAAACGAUGGGCACUAGGUGGGGGAGGUUCCGAUGCCGCCCCUGCCGUAGCAAAAGCGUUAAGUGCCCCGCCUGGGGACUAUGGCCGCAAGGUUAAAACUCAAAGUAAUUGACGGGUGCUCACACAAGCGGUGGAGCAUGUUGUUUAAUUCGAGGCAACGCGAAGAACCUUACCAGGGCUUGACAUGCACGGAUUAGCUCCCUGAAAGGGGAGUGACACCCUUGC
rnacentral:rRNA from 1 species